rnacentral:rRNA from 1 species
GCCAGACUCCUACGGGAGGCAGCAGUGAGGAAUAUUGGUCAAUGGGCGGGAGCCUGAACCAGCCAAGUCGCGUGAGGGAAGACGGUCCUAUGGAUUGUAAACCUCUUUAGGCGGGGAGCAAUGCCGGGCACGCGUGUCCGGAGGGAGAGUACCCGCAGAAUAAGCAUCGGCUAACUCCGUGCCAGCAGCCGCGGUAAUACGGAGGAUGCGAGCGUUAUCCGGAUUUAUUGGGUUUAAAGGGUGCGUAGGCGGAUUUUUAAGUCAGCGGUAAAAUGUCCGGGCUCAACCCGGGCCGGCCGUUGAAACUGGGAAUCUUGAGUGGGCGAGAAGUAUGCGGAAUGCGUGGUGUAGCGGUGAAAUGCAUAGAUAUCACGCAGAACUCCGAUUGCGAAGGCAGCAUACCGGCGCCCGACUGACGCUGAGGCACGAAAGCGUGGGUAUCGAACAGGAUUAGAUACCCCCGUAUG